AAUCAACGCUGGCGGCGUGCCUCAGACAUGCAAGUCGAACGAUUAAAGCUCUCUUCGGGGAGUGCAUAGAGUGGCGCACGGGUGAGUAACACGUAAGUAAUCUACCCUCGAGUGGGGAAUAACAGUCGGAAACGACUGCUAAUACCGCAUAAUGCAGCGGCACCGCAAGGUGACAGUUGUUAAAGGAGCAAUCCGCUUGAGGAGGAGCUUGCGGCAGAUUAGCUAGUUGGUAAGGUAAUGGCUUACCAAGGCUACGAUCUGUAUCCGGUCAAAGAGGACGGUCGGACACACUGACACUGAAUAACGGGUCAGACUCCUACGGGAGGCAGCAGUCGGGAAUUUUGGGCAAUGGGCGAAAGCCUGACCCAGCAACGCCGCGUGAAGGAUGAAGUAUUUCGGUAUGUAAACUUCGAAAGAAUGGGAAGAAUAAAUGACGGUACCAUUUAUAAGCUCCGGCUAACUACGUGCCAGCCGCCGCUGUAAUAC
rnacentral:rRNA from 1 species